rnacentral:rRNA from 1 species
UACGUAGGGUCCGAGCGUUGUCCGGAAUUACUGGGCGUAAAGAGCUCGUAGGUGGUUUUGUCACGUUGUUCGUGAAAACCCACAACUCAAUUGUGGGCGUGCGGGCGAUACGGGCAGACUAGAGUACUGCAGGGGAGACUGGAAUUCCUGGUGUAGCGGUGGAAUGCGCAGAUAUCAGGAGGAACACCGGUGGCGAAGGCGGGUCUCUGGGCAGUAACUGACGCUGGAGGAGCGAAAAGCGUGGGGAGCGAACAGG